rnacentral:rRNA from 1 species
GAUGAACGCUGGCGGCGUGCCUAAUACAUGCAAGUCGAGCGAACAGACGAGGAGCUUGCUCCUCAGACGUUAGCGGCGGACGGGUGAGUCACACGUGGAUAACCUACCUAUAAGACUGGGAUAACUUCGGGAAACCGGAGCUUAUACCGGAUAAUAUAUUGAACCGCAUGGGUCAUUAGUGAAAGACGGUUUUGUUGUCAUGUCUAGAUGGAUACGAGCCGAAUUAGCUGGUUGGUAAGUGAAGGGCUUACCAGGGCGACGAUGCGUAUCCGGCCUGGGGGGGUGAUCGGCCACACUGGAGCUGGAUCACCGCCCAGACCCCUACGGGAGGCAGCAGUAGCGAAUGUUACGCAUUGGUCGGAAGCCUGACGCAACAACGCCGCGUGAGUGAUGAAGAUCUUCGGAGCGUAAUACACUGUUAUUAGUGAAGAACACAUGUGUCAUUAGCUGUGCACGGCUUGACGGUACCUAAUCAGAAAGCCACGGCUAACUACGUG